GCCGGGCGACGGUUGUCCCGGUUUAAGCGUGUAGGGGGUGUGACCUGGUAAAUCCGGUUGCAUAUCAACCCUGAGGCGUGAUGACGAUGCACUACGGUGCAGAAGUAGUUGAUGCCCUGCUUCCAGGAAAAUCCUCUAAGCUCCAGGUAACAUUAAAUCGUACCCCAAACCGACACAGGUGGUCAGGUAGAGAAUACCAAGGCGCUUGAGAGAACUCGGGUGAAGGAACUAGGCAAAAUGGUGCCGUAACUUCGGGAGAAGGCACGCUGGCAUGUAGGUGAAGUCCCUCGCGGAUGGAGCUGAAGCCAGUCGAAGAUACCAGCUGGCUGCAACUGUUUAAUAAAAACACAGCACUGUGCAAACACGAAAGUGGACGUAUACGGUGUGACGCCUGCCCGGUGCUGGAAGGUUAAUUGAUGGGGUCAGCCGCAAGGCGAAGCUCUUGAUCGAAGCCCCAGUAAACGGCGGCCGUAACUAUAACGGUCCUAAGGUAGCGAAAUUCCUUGUCGGGUAAGUUCCGACCUGCACGAAUGGCGUAAUGAUGGCCAGGCUGUCUCCACCCGAGACUCAGUGAAAUUGAACUCGCUGUGAAGAUGCAGUGUACCCGCGGCAAGACGGAAAGACCCCGUGAACCUUUACUAUAGCUUGACACUGAACAUUGAGCCUUGAUGUGUAGGAUAGGUGGGAGGCUUUGAAGCGUGGACGCCAGUCUGCGUGGAGCCAUCCUUGAAAUACCACCCUUUAAUGUUUGAUGUUCUAACUCGGCCCCGUGAUCCGGGGUGAGGACAGUGUCUGGUGGGUAGUUUGACUGGGGCGGUCUCCUCCCAAAGAGUAACGGAGGAGCACGAAGGUUAGCUAAUCACGGUCGGACAUCGUGAGGUUAGUGCAAAGGCAUAAGCUAGCUUGACUGCGAGAGUGACGGCUCGAGCAGGUACGAAAGUAGGUCUUAGUGAUCCGGUGGUUCUGAAUGGAAGGGCCAUCGCUCAACGGAUAAAAGGUACUCCGGGGAUAACAGGCUGAUACCGCCCAAGAGUUCAUAUCGACGGCGGUGUUUGGCACCUCGAUGUCGGCUCAUCACAUCCUGGGGCUGAAGUAGGUCCCAAGGGUAUGGCUGUUCGCCAUUUAAAGUGGUACGCGAGCUGGGUUUAGAACGUCGUGAGACAGUUCGGUCCCUAUCUGCCGUGGGCGUUGGAAGAUUGAGAGGGGUUGCUCCUAGUACGAGAGGACCGGAGUGAACGCACCACUGGUGUUCGGGUUGUCAUGCCAAUGGCAUUGCCCGGUAGCUAAGUGCGGAAAAGAUAAGCGCUGAAAGCAUCUAAGCGCGAAACUU
rnacentral:rRNA from 1 species